AGAUACCCCUGUAGUCCCAGCCGUAAACUAUGCUCGCUAGGUGUCAGGCAUGGCGCGACCGUGUCUGGUGCCGCAGGGAAGCCGUGAAGCGAGCCACCUGGGAAGUACGGCCGCAAGGCUGAAACUUAAAGGAAUUGCGGGGGAGCACCACAACGGGUGGAGCCUGCGGUUUAAUUGGACUCAACGCCGGGAAGCUCACCGGAUAAGACAGCGGAAUGAUUGCCGGGCUGAAGACUCUGCAUGACUAGCUG
rnacentral:rRNA from 1 species